GUUGUAGCUCAGUGGCAGAGCAUCCGUUUUGCAUGCUGAAGCUCCUGGGUUCAAUUGGCUGGUGUCUCCA